rnacentral:rRNA from 1 species
AUGCACGCUGGCGGCGUGCCUAAUCCAUGCAAGUCGCGCGAACAGACGAGGAGCUUGCUCCUCUGACGUUAGCGGCGGACGGGUGAGUAACACGUGGAUAACCUACCUAUAAGACUGGGAUAACUUCGGGAAACCGGAGCUAAUACCGGAUAAUAUAUUGAACCGCAUGGUUCAAUAGUGAAAGACGGUUUUGUUGUCACUUAUAGAUGGAUCCGCGCCGCAUUAGCUAGUUGGUAAGGUAACGGCUUACCAAGGCGACGAUGCGUAGCCGACCUGAGAGGGUGAUCGGCCACACUGGAACUGAGACACGGUCCAGACUCCUACGGGAGGCAGCAGUAGGGAAUCUUCCGCAAUGGGCGAAAGCCUGACGGAGCAACGCCGCGUGAGUGAUGAAGGUCUUCGGAUCGUAAAACUCUGUUAUUAGGGAAGAACAAAUGUGUAAGUAACUAUGCACGUCUUGACGGUACCUAAUCAGAAAGCCACGGCUAACUACGUG